rnacentral:rRNA from 1 species
AGCAGCCGCGGUAAUUCCAGCUCCAAUAGCGUAUAUUAAAGUUGUUGCAGUUAAAAAGCUCGUAGUUGAAUUUCGGGAUCAGUAGGUCGGUCGUGCCACUGGUAUGAACUGGUUUUACUGAUUCCUCCCUCUUGAAGAACUGUAAUGCCAUUAAUUUGGUGUUGCAGGGAAUCAGGACUGUUACUUUGAAAAAAUUAGAGUGUUUAAAGCAGGCUUUAGCUUGAAUACAUUAGCAUGGAAUAAUGAAAUAGGACGUUUGAUCCUAUUUUGUUGGUUUCUAGGAUUGACGUAAUGAUUAAUAGGGAUAGUUGGGGGCAUUAGUAUUCAAUUGUCAGAGGUGAAAUUCUUGGAUUUAUUGAAGACUAACUACUGCGAAAGCAUUUUGCCAAGGAUGUUUUCAUUAAUCAAGAACGAAAGUUAGGGGAUCGAAGACGAUCAGAUACCGUCGUAGUCUUAACCAUAAACUAUGCCGACUAGGGAUCAGAUGAUGUUAAUUUUUUAAUGACUCAUUCGGCGCCUU